rnacentral:lncRNA from 1 species
AGAAAAUUUUUUGAAGGGUUGAAGACCCAUUUGAUCGAAAAUUUUGGAGAAAGGGAAAAGGGUGAUUUUCUUGCUUCAAUCUUUCAAGAAUACACACAUACAACCUCAUACAAGUCAUAUCUAUGAAUUUAUACAUCACUUACCCAAACUUUACACCAACAAUCACACUUUCUCUCUCUAGCCUUGGAAGCAAUCUUCAAUGAUC